rnacentral:rRNA from 1 species
UAAGGAAUAUUGGUCAAUGGACGCAAGUCUGAACCAGCCAUGCCGCGUGGAGGAUGAAGGUCCUCUGGAUUGUAAACUUCUUUUAUCUGGGACGAAAAAAGGGUUUUCUAACUCGUCUGACGGUACCAGAUGAAUAAGCACCGGCUAACUCCGUGCCAGCAGCCGCGGUAAUACGGAGGGUGCAAGCGUUAUCCGGAUUCACUGGGUUUAAAGGGUGCGUAGGCGGGCAAUUAAGUCCGUGGUGAAAUACCUGAGCUUAACUUGGGAACUGCCAUGGAUACUAUUUGUCUUGAAUGUCGUGGAGGUUAGCGGAAUAUGUCAUGUAGCGGUGAAAUGCUUAGAUAUGACAUAGAACACCUAUUGCGAAGGCAGCUAACUACGCGAAUAUUGACGCUGAGGCACGAAAGCGUGGGGAUCAAACAGGAUUAGAUACCCUGGUAGUCCACGCCCUAAACGAUGAUUACUCGACAUUGGCGAUACACAGUCAGUGUCUGAGCGAAAGCAUUAAGUAAUCCACCUGGGAAGUACGACCGCAAGGUUG